rnacentral:rRNA from 1 species
CGGCGAACGGGUGAGUAACGCGUGGAUGACCUACCUUGAGGUGGGGGAUAACUCGGGGAAACUCGAGCUAAUACCGCAUACGAUCGAGAGAUCAAAGGGGCGCAAGUCCUGCCAUGAGAGGGGUCCGCGUACGAUUAGCUAGUUGGUAGGGUAAUGGCCUACCAAGGCGACGAUCGUUAGCCGGCCUGAGAGGGUGAUCGGCCACACUGGAACUGAGACACGGUCCAG